GGCAUAUGUAGCGACUGAUGGCAAUUGCUUUUUCUUUAAGCGAGGGGGAACAGCCCGUUUAUAACAUCUCAGAAGUUCAGGUCUCCAGAGGGUCCCUUGUUUGCUUAUUCCAUGUGUAAGAAAGGCUUAUUUCGAACUGAUUAAUACAAUUUCACAGCCUGGAAAACACCGAAGAACUCAGCUGCAUAAUUUGCGAAGAGGUGACGGCGGUGAGGGGGUGACAAGGCCGAGUUUCUCUUUGCAAAGAACAGCCGAGUCCAGAAAUUGCUUCCCGAUUUAAUAAGAAUCAUGCACCACUAAUUCAAAGUCACUCGGCCAGCACUCGCUGGCUACCUCAUUAGCGGCAGAUAACACUCGAGUGGCCAAUUUUACAUUCAAGAGGUACCAAAAGCACCGGCCGCUCUCUCUUUUCAUUAUUCCCAGGCAUGGUGUGCAAAUAUUGUUGUAAUCCUUUGAUCCUUUC